GGAUAGCUCAGUUGGUUAGAGUGUGGUGUUGAUAAUGGCAAGGUUGCAGGUUCGAUCCCUGUAAGGGACA